rnacentral:rRNA from 1 species
UACGGAGGGUGCGAGCGUUGUCCGGAAUCAUUGGGCGUAAAGGGCGCGUAGGUGGCCCGGUCAGUCUUUGGUGAAAGCGCGGGGCUCAACCCUGCGUCGGCCAGGGAUACUGCCGCGGCUCGAGCACUGUAGAGGCAGGCGGAAUUCCGGGUGUAGCGGUGGAAUGCGUAGAGAUCCGGAAGAACACCGGUGGCGAAGGCGGCUCACUGGCCCGAUACUGACGCUGAGGCACGAAAGCGUGGGGAGCAAACAGG